CGAGCGGAAACGACACUAACAAUCCUUCGGGUGCGUUAAUGGGCGUCGAGCGGCGGACGGGUGAGUAAUGCCUAGGAAAUUGCCUUGAUGUGGGGGAUAACCAUUGGAAACGAUGGCUAAUACCGCAUAAUGCCUACGGGCCAAAGAGGGGGACCUUCGGGCCUCUCGCGUCAAGAUAUGCCUAGGUGGGAUUAGCUAGUUGGUGAGGUAAUGGCUCACCAAGGCGACGAUCCCUAGCUGGUCUGAGAGGAUGAUCAGCCACACUGGAACUGAGACACGGUCCAGACUCCUACGGGAGGCAGCAGUGGGGAAUAUUGCACAAUGGGCGAAAGCCUGAUGCAGCCAUGCCGCGUGUAUGAAGAAGGCCUUCGGGUUGUAAAGUACUUUCAGUUGUGAGGAAGGGGGUAGUGUUAAUAGCGCUAUCUCUUGACGUUAGCAACAGAAGAAGCACCGGCUAACUCCGUGCCAGCAGCCGCGGUAAUACGGAGGGUGCGAGCGUUAAUCGGAAUUACUGGGCGUAAAGCGCAUGCAGGUGGUUCAUUAAGUCAGAUGUGAAAGCCCGGGGCUCAACCUCGGAACUGCAUUUGAAACUGGUGAACUAGAGUACUGUAGAGGGGGGUAGAAUUUCAGGUGUAGCGGUGAAAUGCGUAGAGAUCUGAAGGAAUACCAGUGGCGAAGGCGGCCCCCUGGACAGAUACUGACACUCAGAUGCGAAAGCGUGGGGAGCAAACAGGAUUAGAUACCCUGGUAGUCCACGCCGUAAACGAUGUCUACUUGGAGGUUGUGGCCUUGAGCCGUGGCUUUCGGAGCUAACGCGUUAAGUAGACCGCCUGGGGAGUACGGUCGCAAGAUUAAAACUCAAAUGAAUUGACGGGGGCCCGCACAAGCGGUGGAGCAUGUGGUUUAAUUCGAUGCAACGCGAGAGCUUACCUACUCUUGACAUCAGAGAAGCAGCGAGACGCAAGUGUGCUCGGAGCUCUGAGACAGGUGCUGCAUGCCUGUCGUCAGCUCUAUUGUGAAUGCUAGGGUCUAAGUUCCGCAAUCGAGGCAAUCUAUCCUUGCUGCAGCAGAUAUGUCGGCACUCAGAACUGCCGUCUAAACCUGAGACACGGUGGAC
rnacentral:rRNA from 1 species